GCCAGGCGUGGUAGUGCACACCUGUAAUCCCAAUUGCUCUGGAGGCUGAGGCAGGAGAAUUGUGAGUUCAAAGUCAGCUUCAGCAACUUAGCGAGUUCCUGAACAACUUAGUGAGAUCUUCUCCCUA
rnacentral:sRNA from 1 species